AUGUUGCGUGAGGGAUAGAAGUGGAAAGCCCACAGCCUGACGAAGGAAGAGCGAGGACUUGCAACGGAUAGCCCGACCGGAG
rnacentral:sRNA from 1 species